GAUUGAUGGUGGCUAGGGAAAUUUUUGAGCAUGCCCUUAAAUCUUUCCCAAGCUUGGUAAAGAUUUUCUCCUUCUUUCUGCCUGAAACUUAGAAUUUCACUUCUCAAGUG
rfam:Capsicum annuum cultivar Zunla-1 chromosome 8, whole genome shotgun sequence